rnacentral:rRNA from 1 species
ACCACCCUUUAAUGGCUGGUGUUCUAACGUAGACCCGUAAUCCGGGUUGCGGACAGUGUCUGGUGGGUAGUUUGACUGGGGCGGUCUCCUCCCAAAGAGUAACGGAGGAGCACGAAGGUUAGCUAAUCCUGGUCGGACAUCAGGAGGUUAGUGCAAUGGCAUAAGCUAGCUUGACUGCGAGAGUGACGGCUCGAGCAGGUGCGAAAGCAGGUCAUAGUGAUCCGGUGGUUCUGAAUGGAAGGGCCAUCGCUCAACGGAUAAAAGGUACUCCGGGGAUAACAGGCUGAUACCGCCCAAGAGUUCAUAUCGACGGCGGUGUUUGGCACCUCGAUGUCGGCUCAUCACAUCCUGGGGCUGAAGUAGGUCCCAAGGGUAUGGCUGUUCGCCAUUUAAAGUGGUACGCGAGCUGGGUUUAGAACGUCGUGAGACAGUUCGGUCCCUAUCUGCCGUGGGCGCUGGAGAAUUGAGGGGGGCUGCUCCUAGUACGAGAGGACCGGAGUGGACGCAUCACUGGUGUUCGGGUUGUCAUGCCAAUGGCACUGCCCGGUAGCUAAAUGCGGAAGAGAUAAGUGCUGAAAGCAUCUAAGCACGAAACUUGCCCCGAGAUGAGUUCUCCCUGAGACUUUAAGUCUCCUGAAGGAACGUUAAAGACUAUGACGUUGAUAGGUCGGGUGUGUAAGCGCAGCGAUGCGUUGAGCUAACCGAUACUAAUGAACCGU